CACUGAGAUGCAGUGUCUUAGACCACUGCGCCACUGGGGAGAGGUAGAGACAGAGGUGGACAUAGAGGUGGAGGUGGAGAUAGAGGUGGAGGUAGAGAUAGAGGUGGAGGUAGAGAUAGAGAUCGAGGUGGCGGUAGAGGUAGAGAGAGGUGGAGAUAGAGAUAGAGGGAGGUAGAGAGAAGUGGCGAUGGAGAUAGAGAUAAAGGUGGAGGUUGGGGUGGAGGUAGAGAUGAAGGCAGAGGAGUAGGUGGAGAUAGAGGUGGAGGUGGGGGUAGAGAUGGAGGAGGAGGUAGAGAGAAGUGGCGAUGGAGAUAGAGAUAGAGGUGGAGGUUGGGGUGGAGGUAGAGAUGAAGGCGGAGGAGUAGGUGGAGAUAGAGGUGGAGGUGGGGGUAGAGAUGGAGGAGGAGGUAGAGAUGGAGGUAUUUGUAUUUAUUAUGGAUCAAAUCAAAUGUAUUUAUAAAGCCCUUCUUACAUCAGCUGAUAUUUCAAAGUACUGUACAGAAACCCAGCCUAAAACCCCAAACAGCAAGCAACGCAGGUGUAGAAGCACGAUGGCCAGGAAAAACUCCCUAGAAAGGACUGAACCUAGGAAGAAACAUAGAGAGUAACCAGGCUAUGAGGGGUGGCCAUUCCUCUUCUGGCUGUGCCGGGUGGCCAAGAUGUUCAAAUGUUCAUAGAUGACCAGCAGGGUCAAAUAAUAAUAAUCACAGUGGUUGUCGAGGGUGCAACAGCUCAGCACCUCAGGAGUAAAUGUCAGUUAGCAUUUCAUAGCCGAUCAUUCAGAGUAUCUCUGCCACUCCUGCUGUCUCUAGAGAGUUGAAAACAGCAGGUCUGGGACAGGUAGCACAUCCGGUGAAAAGGUCAGGGUUCCAUAGGCGCAGGCAGAACAGUUGAAAUUGGAGCAGCAGCACGGCCAGGUGGACUGGGGACAGCAAGGAGUCAUCAGGCCAGGUAGUCCUGAGGCAUGGUCCUAAGGCUCAGGUCCUCCGAGAGAGAGAAAGAAAGAGAGAAAGAGAAAAAAAGAGAAAAUUAAAAAGAGCAUACUUAAAUUCACACAGAACACCGGAUUAGACAGGAGAAAUACUCCAGAUAUAACAGACUGACCCUAGCCCCCCGACACAAACUACUGCAGCAUAAAUACUGGAGGCUGAGAAAGGAGGGGUCGGGAGACACUGUGGCCCCAUCUGACGAUACCCCCGGACAGGGACAAACAGGCAGGAUAUAACCCCACCCACUUUGCCAAAGCACAGCCCCACACCACUAGAGGGAUAUCUUCAACCACAACUUACCAUCCUCAGACAAGGCCGAGUAUAGCCCACAAAGAUCUUCACCAUGGCACAACCCAAGGGGGGGUGCCAACCCAGACAGGGAGAUCACGUCAGUGACUCAACCCACUCAAGUGACGCAACCCUCCUAGGGACGGCAUGGAAGAGCAUCAGUAAGCCAGUGACUCAGCCCCUGUAAUAGGGUUAGAGGCAGAGAAUCCCAGUGGAGAGAGGGGAACCGGCCAGGCAGAGACAGCAAGCACGGUUCGUUGCUCCAGUGCCUUUCCGUUCACACACUCCUGGGUCAGACUACCUACUGAAGAGAUGAGUCUUCAAUGAAGACUUAAAGGUUGAGACCGAGUCUGCGUCUCUCACAUGGGUCCUGGCAGAGUUGUGCAGACUCAGGGACAACUGAGCUUUGGAGGAAUCGGCAGAUUUAAAGAGGAGUCCGUAAUUUGCUUUCUAAUGAUCAUGAUCUUUCCUUCAAAGAAGUUUAUGAAUGUAUCACUGCUGAAGUGAAAGCCAUCCUCUCUUGGGGAAUGCUGCUUUUUAGUUAGCUUUGCGACAGUAUCAAAAAUACAUUUUGGAUUGUUCUUAUUUUCCUCAAUUAAGUUGGAAAAAUAGGAUGAUCGAGCAGCAGUGAGGGCUCUUCGAUACUGCACGGUACUGUCUUUCCAAGCUAGUUGGAAGACUUCCAGUUUGGUGUGGCGCCAUUUCCGCUACAAUUUUCUGGAAGCUUGCUUCAGAGCUCAGGUAUUUUCUGUAUACCAGGGAGCUAGUUUCUUAUGACAAAUGUUAUUUGUUGUUUGGGGUGCGACUGCAUCUAGGGUAUUGCGCAAGUUUAAAUUGAGUUCCUCAGUUAGGUGGUUAACUGAUUUUGGGGUAGGCAGAGGGAGUCUGGAAGGGCAUCUAGGAAUCUUUGGGUUGUCCGAGCAUUUAUAGCAUGACUUUUGAUGAUCCUUGGUUAAAUCAAAAGUCUCAGAGUACAAAAAUCAGUUAACCACCUAACUGAGGAACUCAAUUUUACCUUGCGCA
ensembl:lncRNA